UACGUAGGGGGCAAGCGUUGUCCGGAUUUAUUGGGCGUAAAGAGCGUGUAGGCGGCCAGGUAGGUCAGCUGUGAAAACUCGAGGCUCAACCUCGAGACGCCGGUUGAAACCAUCAGACUAGAGUCCGGAAGAGGAGAGUGGAAUUCCUGGUGUAGCGGUGAAAUGCGCAGAUAUCAGGAGGAACACCGGUGGCGAAGGCGGGUCUCUGGGCCGUAACUGACGCUGGAGGAGCGGAAAGCAUGGGGAGCGAAACAGG
rnacentral:rRNA from 1 species